GGGGGCAGAGCUCUUGCUUCUGGGGUCCGCCCGAGCCGCCUCGCCCGGCAUCGAUCCGGCUGCCUGGCACGCAGCACUCCAGCCCCUCUCAGGACUCCACACCGGCCACAGUGAGCCUGCCCGGGUCUGCCCCGGGGCUGGGGCGCGUGGUGAAGCCACGCCUGAGGCUGGAAGCCGCUCCUUUGUCUCAGGACCCGCGCCCCGCCCCGCAGGGCCUUCCUGUGACCUCCCCAGGGGGCCGCCGUCCUGCCCGAGUCCCACUGGCCGCCGGCGCAGUCCCUGUCGAGGGCCCACCACCGCGACGUGGCCUCAUGUUGGUGACGGCAGGUGCUGCAGGCCUGGAGCGGAGUCCCUGCAGUGGGGAGGCGCAGGGGGAGAAGGGCCGAGCUCACACCUGCAGAGCGCAGCCGCUGGCACGGCAGGAAAAGCAUUCGGGCCACGUGGCGGCUCCGCCCCUUUUGACUGGGGACCCCACAGGCCGUUGGUCAGAUGCUCUGUUUGGGCUGAGCGAGGUGGUCUGGCGUGAGCACGUGUGGUGGGAAGUACGCUGGCCCCGAGAUCCCAGCAGGGAGGGGCUGAGCUGGGAGAGAUCCAGGUGACAGCGCAAGGCGCAGGCCAGCCUCCGACCCCACUUCCAGACACGCUCCUGGCGGUCCUGGCUUUGCUGCUCUGCGUCCGUGUCCUGGUUCAUCACCGGCAGCCUGGGUGGGCUCCCUGCCCUCCGGGACCUGGUCUACCUCUGGAAGUUGUACAGCUUUUCUACCCGUGGUCCGAACUUUGGCUUUGAUCUCUGAAGUCUUCAGAGUUUUCAAAUAAGAGAGGUCAGUUAGAGUCCUUUGCUGCUUCUAAAACAGUAGAGCUAGUGACACGAAACUGCUGGAGGGUGUCCCCGAGCAUUUCAGGCAGUUGUGGGGCUGGGUCCAUACUUCUCUUGGGCAGGGUGGUUUUGAUCGUACAUCUUGGACAGAAUGUUGUUUCUUCUCUUUUUUUGUAGAGAUGGGGUCUCACUUUGUCACCCAGGCUGGUGUGCAGUGGCAUGCUCACAGCCAACUUCAGCCUCCAAGUCCUGGGCCCCAGGGACGCCCCUCCUCAGCGUCAUGAGUAGUAGCUGGGGCUAUGGGCACGUGCUACCACGGCCGGCUAAUUUUCUAAUAUUUUGUAGAGACGGGGUCUCACUGUGUUGCCCAGUGACUCUCUUCACUCGGGCACGAGACUUUACUGCAGCUGGUUAAAAGGGAACUUUCUAAUAAGGCUAGAAAAAUUCCCGUGACAGAGGAAGAGCAGUAGAAUCUGUGAGCCAGGCCGGAGCCCCGGACGCUGAGCUGGUGGAGGCGUCCGCGCAGGCGUCCUCCUGACGGCAGGACCGGCUCCGGAACUCUCCACCGUGUCACAGCCCACUCCCGGCGCCGCCUUCAGAGACUGCGAAGGCUGGAGGGGCGGUGGGGGCGCUGCAGCGCCGAGCGCCUGCCCCAGACCCGUGAUGGGUGUUCUGGGGCACCGGCGUGCCGCACACCUCCACGGCCAAACCAGCAUGGACACCAGCCCUGUUGUUCUCUGGGAACGUUCUGGCUCUGCGAAUCUUGCCUUUCCCCUCCCGGACUUGGCCGAGAACGUGGCCGUCUGUGGGAUGUGCUCCCACCGUGCCCUGGUGCCUGAAAGUGCCCCGUGUCCAGCCCCCCCACCCGCCUCGUGGCCCAUGCCACACGCCGCCUCUCGGUCGGGCCGGGCCGGCGGGGCCAUCCGUCUUCCCACACACGCACACCCUCUCCCCCAGUCGAUACGUCUCUCUCCGAUGGGAAAGUUAAUAAAUUUUGCUCUAGAUUAAAAGUAUUGAUCAUUUCAUUUGUAAACGAUAAAUAAAAAGGGGGAACUUUUCAUCGCACCAGGGGUGGCGUCUGGUGUAUUCUGUGGCUGAGAUUGCGCUGCUGCCGGGGGGGCUGCUCAUAUGCAUCCCGGCCGGCCGGCCGCAUUGAUUUCCUAUUAGUCUCCCGGCACCACCCGGUAACACAUCACUUCAGUACCUGCUAUUAAUGGUCUUUUGAUAAAUAAUCACUUGUAAGUCAAUAAAUUUUUAUUAAACAGU